AGCCACAGCGGACAAGACGUGCAUUGUUUUGUGCAGUUAGGGAAGAAGCCUCGGUUUCAUCGUGGCUAGUUAUUUUUAGCACUCCCGAGCCCUACACAAGCUUUUUGGUUCCUGCAUUGAAGACCGCGACCACUAGAGUAUCUCCCCUGGCAUUGUGCUCACCGGAGAGCAUCGUUUGGAGUUCUCGAGCUUAGCUGCCCACUACGCAGAGCCUAAGGAGCCGUUAUCGGCACAAGCUACACAGCUCGGACCCGCCCUCCCCGCAUCGGCCAAUUCUGAUAUCCCACACCUCGUAAACUGCCAGUGGGGCAAAAAGACAACAUUUUUUCUCGUCUCUCUCUCCCGCCUUGCAAAAUCCGCAGGCCAAAGAGAAAAAAGGGGAGACUACAUAGUCCUGGUUGUCGUCAAAGUUGAGUCUUUUUGAUGGUUCUUGGCAGGGGUACAAACCCAAUCCCAAUAAUGCAGGAAACCUUGCUGGCAGGGGUUGCUUUGACCCAUCCAUUCUACUGAACUUCAAGGCAACGAAAUCCGAGAUUAAGCUCCAUGCUUAUAGGGAAGUCUAUUUUCUCUUGUAUGCUAUCAAUAGUGCGUAAGGUUGCGGGGCAAAAUCUAUUUUGCUCGCGAGGAAAUGGAGGAAAGACCAGGAUAGUUAUCUCCAUUGUAAAUUAAGCCCCAGCUACCCUGGACCCCUCAAAUGUGGUUAAGAGGAUUAAUGUCUCGUAUUUCAAUUGUAACGGCUUGAGAUAUACCAGUUCACUUUCCACAUUCUCAACAUUACUAGUAGCUUUUAUCAAACAAUUAUGAAGCACGUUGUGUCAGUCAG
rnacentral:sRNA from 2 species